rnacentral:rRNA from 1 species
GACGAACGCUGGCGGCGUGCUUAACACAUGCAAGUCGAACGGAAAGGCCCUGCUUUUGUGGGGUGCUCGAGUGGCGAACGGGUGAGUAACACGUGAGUAACCUGCCCUUGACUUUGGGAUAACUUCAGGAAACUGGGGCUAAUACCGGAUAGGAUCUCCUGCUGCAUGUUGGUGGUUGGAAAGUUUCGGCGGUUGGGGAUGGACUCGCUGCUUAUCAGCUUGUUUGUUGGGUAGUGGCUUACCAAGGCUUUGACGGGUAGCCGGCCUGAGAGGGUUACCGGGCACAUGGGGACUGAGAGACGGCACAGACUAAUACGGGAGGAAGGAGGGGGGAAUAUUGCAGAAUGGGAGGAAGCAUGAGGCAGAAACGCAGCGUGCGGGAUGACGGCCGUCGGGUUGUAAACCGCUUUCGUAUGUGACGAAGAGUGAGUGACGGUAAUGGGUAAAGAAGGACCGGCUAACUACGUG